UACGAAGGGGGCUAGCGUUGCUCGGAAUCACUGGGCGUAAAGGGUGCGUAGGCGGGUCUUUAAGUCAGGGGUGAAAUCCUGGAGCUCAACUCCAGAACUGCCUUUGAUACUGGACGAUCUUGAGUUCGGGAGAGGUGAGUGGAACUGCGAGUGUAGAGGUGAAAUUCGUAGAUAUUCGCAAGAACACCAGUGGCGAAGGCGGCUCACUGGCC
rnacentral:rRNA from 1 species